rnacentral:rRNA from 1 species
GACGAACGCUGGCGGCGUGCCUAACACAUGCAAGUCGAGCGGAGACAGUGAGUAGCUUGCUAUGAGCUGUUUUAGCGGCGGACGGGUGAGUAACGCGUGAGCAACCUUUCCCAGACAGGGGAAUAACACACCGAAAGGUGUACUAAUACCGCAUAAGACCACGGUUUCACAUGGAACUGAGGUAAAAGAUUUAUCGGUUUGGGGUGGGCUCGCGUCCGAUUAGGUAGUUGGUGAGGUAACGGCCCACCAAGCCGACGAUCGGUAGCCGACCUGAGAGGGUGAUCGGCCACAUUGGGACUGAGACACGGCCCCAACUCCUACGGGAGGCAGCAGUGGGGAAUAUUGGGCAAUGGAGGAAACUCUGACCCAGCAACGCCGCGUGGAGGAAGAAGGUUUUCGGAUCGUAAACUCCUGUCCU